rnacentral:rRNA from 1 species
AUGAACGCUCGCGAUAGGCUUAACACAUGCAAGUCGAGGGGCAGCAUUAUUUUAGCUUGCUAAGAUAGAUGGCGACCGGCGCACGGGUGCGUAACGCGUAUGCAACCUGCCUGUAAUUAGGGAAUAACCCGGUGAAAGUCGGACUAAUACCCUAUAUUCUUCUUUCUCCGCAUGGGGGAGGACGGAAAGAUUUAUUGAUUACAGAUGGGCAUGCGUCCCAUUAGCUGGUUGGUAAGGUAACGGCUUACCAAGGCAACGAUGGGUAGGGGGACUGAGAGGUUGACCCCCCACACUGGUACUGAGACACGGACCAGACUCCUACGGGAGGCAGCAGUGAGGAAUAUUGGUCAAUGGGCGAGAGCCUGAACCAGCCGAGUCGCGUGAAGGACGACGGUUCUAUGGAUUGUAAACUUCUUUUGUAGAGGAAUAACGGUAGCUACGUGUGUGUGAGAUGCAUGUACUCUACGAAUAAGUAUCGGCUAACUCCGUGCCAGCUGCCGCGGUAAUACGGAGGAUACUAGCGUUAUCCGGAAUUAUUGGGUUUAAAGGGUGCGUAGGUGGCGUAUUAAGUCAGUGGUGAAAAGCUGCAUCUCAACUGUAGUCUUGCCGUUGAAACUGAUAUGCUAGAGAGUAGACGAGGUAUGCGGAAUGUGUGGUGUAGCGGUGAAAUGCAUAGAUAUCACACAGAACUCCCAUUGCGAAGGCAUCGUACCAGGCUCCGUCUGACACUCAAGCACGAUAGCUUGGGGAUCAAACAUGAUCAGAUACCCUAGUAUUGCAAGUGCGAAUUCCGCCGUGGGUUUCAGCUUGUCGAUACCGCGACCUGGGUUGCACUCUGUGACCCUCUGUGGGUGUGUGUAUGAGGGAAUA